CCUACGGGAGUCAGCAGUGAGGAAUAUUGGUCAAUGGGCGGGAGCCUGAACCAGCCAAGUCGCGUGAGGGAAGACGGUCCUAUGGAUUGUAAACCUCUUUAGGCGGGGAGCAAUGCCGGGCACGUGUGCCCGGAGGGAGAGUACCCGCAGAAUAAGCAUCGGCUAACUCCGUGCCAGCAGCCGCGGUAAUACGGAGGAUGCGAGCGUUAUCCGGAUUUAGUGGGUUUAAAGGGUGCGUAGGCGGAUUUUUAAGUCAGCGGUAAAAUGUCCGGGCACAACCCGGGCCGGCCGUUGAAACUGGGGAUCUUGAGUUGGCGAGAAGUAUGCGGAAUGCGUGGUGUAGCGGUGAAAUGCAUAGAUAUCACGCAGAACUCCGAUUGCGAAGGCAGCAUACCGGCGCCCGACUGACGCUGAGGCACGAAAGCGUGGGGAUCGAACAGGAUUAGAUACCCCAGUAGUC
rnacentral:rRNA from 1 species